AACGAACGCUGGCGGCAUGCCUAACACAUGCAAGUCGAACGAGAACUUCGGGUCUAGUGGCGCACGGGUGAGUAACGCGUGGGAACCUGCCCUUAGGUUCGGAAUAACUCCCCGAAAGGGGUGCUAAUACCGCAUAAUCUCUUCGGACCAAAGAUUUAUCGCCUUUGGAUGGGCCCGCGUUGGAUUAGCUAGUUGGUAGGGUAAAAGCCUACCAAGGCGACGAUCCAUAGCUGGUCUGAGAGGAUGAUCAGCCACACUGGGACUGAGACACGGCCCAGACUCCUACGGGAGGCAGCAGUGGGGAAUAUUAGACAAUGGGCGAAAGCCUGAUCCAGCAAUGCCGCGUGAGUGAUGAAGGCCUUAGGGUUGUAAAGCUCUUUUAGCCGGGAUGAUAAUGACAGUACCGGGAGAAUAAGCUACGGCUAACUCCGUG
rnacentral:rRNA from 1 species